rnacentral:misc_RNA from 1 species
AUGCAACACUGUAGAAGGGACGAUGAAAAAAAAGGUGGUGGUGAUUAUCGUGGAAAGAGUCUGGAUUUUGAUUCAGUCUUGCCAUUUUGAGCUUUUGAAGUAUUGAGAAACUUUAGAAACCAGUUUUCUGAAGUAUUUCACUAAAAGGGGCUCUAAAUCUUGAGAUUUUCAUUUUCAGUGCCAGUGCACUACUCUCUGAAACCAUUUUCAUUCUGCU